rnacentral:rRNA from 1 species
AGUGAACGCUGGCGGUAGGCCUAACACAUGCAAGUCGAACGGCAGCACAGAGGAGCUUGCUCCUUGGGUGGCGAGUGGCGGACGGGUGAGGAAUACAUCGGAAUCUACUUUUUCGUGGGGGAUAACGUAGGGAAACUUACGCUAAUACCGCAUACGACCUACGGGUGAAAGCAGGGGAUCUUCGGACCUUGCGCGAUUGAAUGAGCCGAUGUCGGAUUAGCUAGUUGGCGGGGUAAAGGCCCACCAAGGCGACGAUCCGUAGCUGGUCUGAGAGGGUGAUCAGCCACACUGGAACUGAGACACGGUCCAGACUCCUACGGGAGGCAGCAGUGGGGAAUAUUGGACAAUGGGCGCAAGCCUGAUCCAGCCAUACCGCGUGGGUGAAGAAGGCCUUCGGGUUGUAAAGCCCUUUUGUUGGGAAAGAAAUCCAGCCGGCUAAUACCUGGUUGGGAUGACGGUACCCAAAGAAUAAGCACCGGCUAACUUCGUGCCAGCCGCCGCGGUAAAAC